GAUGAACGCUGGCGGCAUGCCUAAUACAUGCAAGUCGAACGAGAGGAAGGAAAGCUUGCUUUUCUGAAUCUAGUGGCGAACGGGUGAGUAACACGUAGGUAACCUGCCCAUGUGCCCGGGAUAACUUCUGGAAACGGAUGCUAAAACCGGAUAGGUAGCAGACAAGCAUUUGACUGCUAUUAAAGUGGCUAAGGCCAUGAACAUGGAUGGACCUGCGGUGCAUUAGCUAGUUGGUGAGGUAACGGCCCACCAAGGCGACGAUGCAUAGCCGGCCUGAGAGGGCGGACGGCCACAUUGGGACUGAGACACGGCCCAAACUCCUACGGGAGGCGGCAGUAGGGAAUUUUCGUCAAUGGGGGGAACCCUGAACGAGCAAUGCCGCGUGAGUGAAGAAGGUCUUCGGAUCGUAAAGCUCUGUUGUAAGAGAAAAACGACAUUCAUAGGGAAUGAUGAGUGAGUGAUGGUAUCUUACCAGAAAGU
rnacentral:rRNA from 1 species